GAUCAAUAGAUCUUGUCAGAAAUGUUCCCACCUACCAAGUGGCUCAUGGACAGCCUUUGUGAAUAUGACCAAAUACAGAGAGGAGGAGAAAGAGGAAGUUCAAUUUGCUUAUUCAAGUCUGAGAAGAAAGGUAAGAGAACAGCAGACUCUCUCUCUUCUUAGAAAGUACUUGGAUUAUGUCUCAGUUGUAGAAAAAAAUAUUAACAUAUUAUAUUUACAGGAAGCAGUCUCAUUUUUGUGGCUCCUUUAAAAGAUGAGAGCAUAAAUGUAAGUAAAGGACAAACUGGGUCCUCCCACCUUGCUUCAUGAUUUCAUG
rnacentral:lncRNA from 1 species